GUAAAUUAAAAAAAAAAAAAAAGAAAGAAAAAUAGAAUUCUUUUCAAUUUUGAAAAGUGGGGAAUUUAUAUCCGCUGGUGCAUAGACGUAUAAAUAGGGUUUCUUCGCUGAAUUUUUUCACAGAGUUUCGGGCACUCUCAAAGUGUACUCGCGAGUAGUAGAGUAUCGGAAUAAAAUUUGAAAAGUAGAAAGAAAGGGUAAAUCGAUUCAUCGAUAAAAUGGGGAUAUACAACAAACUUGCAAUUUUGACCUUCGUAGUUAUGGCCGCUGCAGCACCGGCUGCUUUAAGCUCUAUUUUGCAAAUUGAAAUUUCUCUCCUAGGACAGAAACUAGUAGAGUUGAAACUUCCGUGAGUCACUCGAAUUCCAGUUUGACUCGUCGCACUUCGGUCCUUCGCAAUCGGUCUCUGAGAUGGGGGCGUUUAUGGAAAAUCGAAGAUGUGUAAAAAAAUAGGUAUAACAAAAAAAUUUUCAACGAAAAAUAAAGCAAAAACAAAAUUAUUGUAAAACAAUUACUUCACGAAUAAAACGAUGUCCUCAAUUUUACUGGAAUCACUUUUUUUUGUCUUUAUCCGAUAUCCGCUCGAUCGAUUCAUUUGAGGCUAAACAAAGGAAGAGUUUUCGAUUUUUUUCCCGUAAAAAAUGCAAAAGAAACAUCUUAUAACUUUGAUGUUGAAU
rnacentral:misc_RNA from 1 species